rnacentral:rRNA from 1 species
GUUCCACGUGUGGGAUUUUGUAUGUACCAUAUGAAUAAGGAUCGGCUAACUCCGUGCCAGCAGCCGCGGUAAUACGGAGGAUCCGAGCGUUAUCCGGAUUUAUUGGGUUUAAAGGGAGCGUAGGUGGAUUGUUAAGUCAGUUGUGAAAGUUUGCGGCUCAACCGUAAAAUUGCAGUUGAAACUGGCAGUCUUGAGUACAGUAGAGGUGGGCGGAAUUCGUGGUGUAGCGGUGAAAUGCUUAGAUAUCACGAAGAACUCCGAUUGCGAAGGCAGCUCACUGGACUGCAACUGACACUGAGGCUCGAAAGUGUGGGUAUCAAACAGGAUUAGAUACCCUGGUAGUCCACACAGUAAACGAUGAAUACUCGCUGUUUGCGAUAUACUGCAAGCGGCCAAGCGAAAGCAUUAAGUAUUCCACCUGGGGAGUACGCCGGCAACGGUGAAACUCAAAGGAAUUGACGGGGGCCCGCACAAGCGGAGGAACAUGUGGUUUAAUUCGAUGAUACGCGAGGAACCUUACCCGGGCUUAAAUUGCACCUGAAUAAUGUGGAAACAUGUUAGCCGUAAGGCAGGUGUGAAGGUGCUGCAUGGUUGUCGUCAGCUCGUGCCGUGAGGUGUCGGCUUAAGUGCCAUAACGAGCGCAACCCUUAUCUUCAGUUACUAACAGGUCAUGCUGAGGACUCUGGAGAGACUGCCGUCGUAAGAUGUGAGGAAGGUGGGGAUGACGUCAAAUCAGCACGGCCCUUACGUCCGGGGCUACACACGUGUUACAAUGGGAGGUACAGAAGGCCGCUACCUGGCGACAGGAUGCCAAUCCCCAAAACCUCUCUCAGUUCGGAUCGAAGUCUGCAACCCGACUUCGUGAAGCUGGAUUCGCUAGUAAUCGCGCAUCAGCCAUGGCGCGGUGAAUACGUUCCCGGGCCUUGUACACACCGCCCGUCAAGCCAUGAAAGCCGGGGGUACCUGAAGUACGUAACCGCAAGGAUCGUCCUAGGGUAAAACUGGUAAUUGGGGCUAAGUCGUAACAAGGUAGCCGUACCGGAAGGUGCGGCUGGAACACCUCCUUUCUGGAGC